UCCUCAGCGACGCCCCAGUAAGACUUGUCUUUGGGUGGCGAGUGGCGGACGGGUGAGGAAUACAUCGGAAUCUACUUUUUCGUGGGGGAUAACGUAGGGAAACUUACGCUAAUACCGCAUACGACCUACGGGUGAAAGCAGGGGAUCUUCGGACCUUGCGCGAUUGAAUGAGCCGAUGUCGGAUUAGCUAGUUGGCGGGGUAAAGGCCCACCAAGGCGACGAUCCGUAGCUGGUCUGAGAGGAUGAUCAGCCACACUGGAACUGAGACACGGUCCAGACUCCUACGGGAGGCAGCAGUGGGGAAUAUUGGACAAUGGGCGCAAGCCUGAUCCAGCCAUACCGCGUGGGUGAAGAAGGCCUUCGGGUUGUAAAGCCUUUUGUUGGGAAAGAAAUCCAGCUGGUUAAUACCCGGUUGGGAUGACGGUACCCAAAGAAUAAGCCCGGCUAACUUCGUGCCACAGCCGCGGUAAUACGAAGGGUGCAAGCGUUACUCGGAAUUCUGGGCGUAAAGCGUGCGU
rnacentral:rRNA from 1 species